AAACGCUGGCGGUGCGCCUUUAUGCCUGCAAGUCGAGCGAAGCUUUUCAGUAGUUUACUACAGAAAAUGACUGAGCGGCGAACGGGUGAGUAACGCGUGAGCAAUCUACCUUAGUUACAGGGAUAGCCCGAGGAAACUCGGAUUAAUACCUGAUAUUCUUUAUUUCUCGCAUGAGAAUAAAAGGAAAGGUCAGCCGAACUAAGAUGAGCUCGCGUUCUAUCAGCUAGUUGGUGAGGUAAAAGCUUACCAAGGGCUACGACGGAUAGCUGGUCUGAGAGGACGAUCAGCCACACUGGGACUGAGACACGGCCCAGACUCCUACGGGAGGCUGCAGCACGGGAAUAUUGUGCAAUGAACGAAAGUUUGACACAGCGACACCGCGUGUGGGAUGACGGAUCUAGGUUUGUAAACCACUUUCAGGAGGGAAGAAAAUGACGGUACCUCCACAAGAAGCCCCGGCAACUACGUGCCAGCAGCCGCGGUAAUACGUAGGGGGCGAGCGUUGUCCGGAUUUAUUGGGCGUAAAGAGCUCGUAGGCGGUUCAACCAAGUCGGUCGUGAAAGUUCAGGGCUCAACCCUGAAAU
rnacentral:rRNA from 1 species